rfam:Asian citrus Psyllid, Diaphorina citri - Florida Strain, whole genome shotgun sequence.
GCUCCCAUGGCGUAGUGGUCACUGCACUCGCCUUGCACGCGGGAGACCCGGGUUCGAUUCCCGGCGGAGUCA